CAAGUCGAGCGGCAGCGCGGGGCAACCUGGCGGCGAGCGGCGAACGGGUGAGUAAUGCAUCGGAACAUGUCCAUGUCGUGGGGGAUAGCCCGGCGAAAGCCGGAUUAAUACCGCAUACGCCCGAGAGGGGAAAGUGGGGGACCGCAAGGCCUCACGCGAUUGGGUUGGCCGAUGUCCGAUUAGCUAGUUGGUGGGGUAAAGGCUUACCAAGGCGAUGAUCGGUAGCUGGUCUGAGAGGAUGAUCAGCCACACUGGGACUGAGACACGGCCCAGACUCCUACGGGAGGCAGCAGUGGGGAAUUUUGGACAAUGGGGGCAACCCUGAUCCAGCCAUUCCGCGUGAGUGAAGAAGGCCUUCGGGUUGUAAAGCUCUUUUGUCCGGAACGAAACGGUGAACGUGAAUAUCGUUCGCUACUGACGGUACCGGAAGAAUAAGCACCGGCUAACUACGUGCCAGCAGCCGCGGUAAUACGUAGGGUGCGAGCGUUAAUCGGAAUUACUGGGCGUAAAGCGUGCGCAGGCGGUUUUGUAAGCCAGAUGUGAAAUCCCCGGGCUUAACCUGGGAAUGGCAUUUGGGACUGCAAGGCUGGAGUGCGGCAGAGGAGACUGGAAUUCCUGGUGUAGCAGUGAAAUGCGUAGAUAUCAGGAGGAAUACCGAUGGCGAAGGCAGGUCUCUGGGCUGACACUGACGCUCAUGCACGAAAGCGUGGGGAGCAAACAGGAUUAGAUACCCUGGUAGUCCACGCCCUAAACGAUGUCGACUGGUUGUUGGGGGGUUUGACACUCUCAGUAACGAAGCUAACG
rnacentral:rRNA from 1 species